rnacentral:rRNA from 1 species
CUUGGUCAUUUAGAGGAAGUAAAAGUCGUAAUAAGGUUUCCGUAGGUGAACCUGCGGAAGGACCAUUAAUGAAUUUAGGAGGUUUGCUGUGCCGUCUUCACGGAAUUGUGCACGCUUACCUCUAUAAUCCUUAUCAACACCUGUGCACCUUUCUAGGGAGAACGAUAGGUUUCACGACCUAUCAUGACCUCUAUAUACACACUCUUUAUGUCAAUGAAUGUUACUUGGCCGAAAGGCUAGAAUUAUAAACAACUUUUAACAACGGAUCUCUUGGCUCUCGCAUCGAUGAAGAACGCAGCGAAAUGCGAUAAGUAAUGUGAAUUGCAGAAUUCAGUGAAUCAUCGAAUCUUUGAACGCACCUUGCGCUCCCUGGUAUUCCGGGGAGCACGCCUGUUCGAGUGUUAUGAAACUAUCAAGAAAAAUUGGCUUUAUUGUUGAUUUUGGUUGGAUUUGAACUUUGACGUUGAUCUAGGUAGAGGGUUACUCCUCUGCUCUGUAAUACGACUAGUUUUAAAAGUAUAAGCAGGCUCUGGUUUUUUAAUUACCAUGGUUCUACUCAGCGUGAUAAUUAUCUAUCGUUGAGGACACUUUUAUUAGUGGCCAUGGUCCCAAGAGUUGCUCUCUAAUCUCUGUGAUCAGUUGCAAAACUGAUUUCAUUCAUAUCUGACCUCGAAUCAGGUGGGACUACCCGCUGAACUUAAGCAUAUCAAUAAGCGGAGGA